AGUGAACGCUGGCGGUGGGCCUAAUACAUGCAAGUCGAACGGAAGGAUAGUAAGAGUUUGCCCCUACGGGUGGCGAGGGGCGGGCGGGUGAGGAAUGGAUAGGAUACUUCUUUGUCGUGGGGAAUUUCGUAGGACAAGUGAUGAUAAUAGCGCAUAUGUUGUACGGCUGGGAGCAGUAGUGCUAGGGAGUUUGGGUGAUUGAAUGAGAUGAUGUCGGAUUAGCUAGUCGGCGGGGUAAAGGCACACCAAGGCAACGAUACGUAGCUGGUCUGAGAGGAUGAUCAGCCACACUGGAACUGAGACACGGUCCAGACUCCUACGGGAGGCAGCAGUAGGGAAUAUUGCGCAAUGGGCGCAAGCCUGAUCCAGCCACACCGCGUGAGUGAAGAAGGCCUUCGGAUCGUAAAACUCUGUUAUUAGGGAAGAAAAAAUGCAGGUGAAACCCCCGCCGUUUUGACGGUACCCAAAGAGUAAGCAACGGCUAACUUCGUG
rnacentral:rRNA from 1 species